rnacentral:rRNA from 1 species
UUCCGGUUGAUCCUGCCGGAGGCCAUUGCUAUCGGAGUUCGAUUUAGCCAUGCUAGUCGCACGGGUUUAGACCCGUGGCAGAUAGCUCAGUGACACGUGGCCAAACUACCCUCUGGACCGGAAUAACCUCGGGAAACUGAGGCCAAUACCGGAUAGCGCUCUCUGCCUGGAACGGCUUGAGCACCAAACGUUACGGCGCCAGAGGAUGUGGCUGCGGCCGAUUAGGUAGACGGUGGGGUAACGGCCCACCGUGCCUAUAAUCGGUACGGGUUGUGAGAGCAAGAGCCCGGAGACGGUAUCUGAGACAAGAUACCGGGCCCUACGGGGCGCAGCAGGCGCGAAAACUUUACACUGCACGACAGUGCGAUAAGGGAACUCCGAGUGCGAGGGCAUAUCGUCCUCGCUUUUCUGUACCGUAAGGUGGUACAAGAAUAAGAACUGGGCAAGACCGGUGCCAGCCGCCGCGGUAACACCGGCAGUUCAAGUGAUGGCCGAUAUUAUUGGGCCUAAAGCGUCCGUAGCCGGUCACGAAAGUCCGUUGGGAAAUCUGCUCGCUCAACGAGCAGGCGUCCGGCGGAAACUACGUGACUCGGGACCGAAAGGACCGAAGGGUACGUCUGGGGUAGGAGUGAAAUCCCGUAAUCCUGGACGGACCACCGAUGGCGAAAGCACUUCGGUAGAUCGGAUCCGACGGUGAGGGACGAAAGCUAGGGUCACGAACCGGAUUAGAUACCCGGGUAGUCCUAGCCGUAAACGAUGCUCGUUAGGUGUGGCGCAAACUACGAGUUUGUGCCGUGCCGCAGUGAAGACGAUAAACGAGCCGCCUGGGAAGUACGUCCGCAAGGAUGAAACUUAAAGGAAUUGGCGGGGGAGCACUACAACCGGAGGAGCCUGCGGUUUAAUUGGAUUCAACGCCGG